GGGGGGAGCUCAGGAUCCUGGGCUGUGUCCCCCAGCACCCUGGGAUCCGGGGCCUGUACUGCUGGAAUUGCACUCCCAGGCCGUGCAGCCCCCU
rnacentral:pre_miRNA from 1 species